rnacentral:lncRNA from 1 species
GACGCUCAGGACGCACAGGAGGCAACACUCAUUUAUCCUGGAGUUCUUUUAAGGCGAGAAGAAGAGGGAAAAAGACUCGAAACUGUUCACUUGAAAGGCUCUUGUCGUCCCACCUUCUGUGGAGCUGUCGGCGCUCUUCCUGACAUCCGGCAUUCAUUGGAGCGGUGGCAGUCACACAGGGCUCCCUGAUCAGUGCCGACCAGGAGCGGAGCUGAAGCUUAACGGGGCUAAGCACGCUGUCCAAGAAAC